rnacentral:rRNA from 1 species
GACGAACGCUGGCGGCGUGCUUAACACAUGCAAGUCGAACGGAAAGGCCCUGCUUUUGUGGGGUGCUCGAGUGGCGAACGGGUGAGUAACACGUGAGUAACCUGCCCUUGACUUUGGGAUAACUUCAGGAAACUGGGGCUAAUACCGGAUAGGAGCUCCUGCUGCAUGGUGGGGGUUGGAAAGUUUCGGCGGUUGGGGAUGGACUCGCGGCCUAUCAGCUUGUUGGUGGGGUAGUGGCUUACCAAGGCUUUGACGGGUAGCCGGCCUGAGAGGGUGACCGGCCACAUUGGGACUGAGAUACGGCCCAGACUCCUACGGGAGGCAGCAGUGGGGAAUAUUGCACAAUGGGCGGAAGCCUGAUGCAGCAACGCCGUGUGCGGGAUGACGGCUUUCGGGUUGUAAACCGCUUUCGCCUGUGACGAAGCGUGAGUGACGGUAAUGGGUAAAGAAGCACCGGCUAACUACGUG